CUUAGAAGCCUGCCAGCCCCAGCCUCCUGAAGACUGUGUCCUUCCCAGCUGACUGGGAGUCUUUUCAAGGACAUGGGACCUGACCUAUUGCCCCAGGAGACUGAAGUUCCUCACCAGCAUCCCCUCACCAGUUUAUUUCGCUCUGAACCCCUAGCUCCUAACACAGGUCACCUGAGGGGACAGAGUCAUCCAAACAAGGUCACUAUGUUGAAAGCUAAUAGUUGUUUCUUGAAAAGAAAAGUCAUGGAAAAAUUAGGACACUGCGGAAAUAAUUACUAUAAGAUGGAAAAUGGAUCAAGAGAAUAUUUUCUUCCAAUAAGGCUACCACACAGUCCUUGGCGCCCUAAUGACUUCACAAUGGAAUUGAUGAAUCUUGU
rnacentral:lncRNA from 1 species